AGAGGAUGAUCCGCCACACUGGUACUGAGACACGGACCAGACUCCUACGGGAGGCAGCAGUGAGGAAUAUUGCGCAAUGGAGGCAACUCUGACGCAGCCAUGCCGCGUGCAGGAUGACAGCCCUACGGGUUGUAAACUGCUUUUCUGCAGGAAGAAUCCUCCCUACGUGUAGGGAGUUGACGGUACUGCAGGAAGAAGCAUCGGCUAACUCCGUGCCAGCAGCCGCGGUAAUACGGAGGAUGCAAGCGUUAUCCGGAUUCAUUGGGUUUAAAGGGUGCGCAGGCGGAUAUGUAAGUCAGAGGUGAAAGCCCACAGCUUCACUGUGGAAUUGCCUUUGAUACUGCAUAUCUUGAGUCUGGUUGAGGUAGGCGGAAUGUAGUAUGUAGCGGUGAAAUGCAUAGAUAUACUACAGAACACCCAUUGCGAAGGCAGCUUACCAAACNAGCACUGACGCUCAGGCACGAAAGCGUGGGGAGCAAACAGGAUUAGAUACCCUGGUAGCCCACGCCGUAAACGUUGAUCACUCGUUGUUGGCAAUACACCGUCAGCGACUAAGCAAAAGCAUUAAGUGAUCCACCUGGGGAGUACGAUCGCAAGGUUGAAACUCAAAGGAAUUGACGGGGGCCCGCACAAGCGGAGGAGCAUGUGGUUUAAUUCGAUGAUACGCGAGGAACCUUACCCGGGCUUAAAUGUAGGGUGCAUUGGUGUGAAAACACCAUUUCCUUCGGGACUCCCUACAAGGUGCUGCAUGGUUGUCGUCAGCUCGUGCCGUGAGGUGUCGGGUUAAGUCCCAUAACGAGCGCAACCCCUAUCUUUAGUUGCCAGCAGGUAAAGCUGGGGACUCUAAAGAAACUGCCCGCGCAAGCGGUGAGGAAGGUGGGGAUGACGUCAAAUCAGCACGGCCCUUAUGUCCGGGGCUACACACGUGCUACAAUGGCCGGUACAGUGGGCAGCUAAUGCGCGAGCAUUUGCUAAUCUCUAAAACCGGUC
rnacentral:rRNA from 1 species